rnacentral:misc_RNA from 1 species
GUAAGUUAAACAACCAUGACAAACAAACAAACUAUUCUUUUAUAUUUCUUAGGAACUUAAACAUUCCUUGCUAAGUUUUUUUUUUCGAAAGAUAUUGUAGAUUACAUUAUUAAAUUGGCCAGAGGCCCAAAUAUAGAAAUAAGCCCUUGGCCAUACAGGCAAUACAUCUAGCAACAAUACUCAAACUCUGCACAAAGAAGGCCUAAUAAGCCCAAAUCAAGAAAAAACCCUCACAGAGGAUGAAUCUAAACCCAACCCAAUGCUCAUGACUCGGAAGGAAUGCUCGCUGCGCCGUAGAGAAAUAUACCAGAGGAUGCUCGGCGAAUAACCAUGGCUACCUCAGCAUAAACAACAUAUUAAUAUCGGUUGGAGGUGAAGCAAAAUGAUUGAAGCACCAUUAGAGGGUUGAAGAAACGGCUGGAAAAGUCUUAAAAGAAGACCCUUUAGAUAAUAGCGACCCCAUAAGCAGCAGGAAGAGACGCUGGAAGCCCAUACAGACCAAAGACUCCUCACCAUGGAUCUGUCAUCGGUGCUACCGGUGGAGAAAAAAACAGAGCUCUCAUGCUGGUCAGCGAUCACCCAUAGGCGUUGGUAAGGACCCCGAGAUGUCUGCUUCUCCUGUCUCUUACAAAAUCAAAACCAUACCUUUAAGCAGAACACUACCCAUUACUGUGAACUACUGAACAAUGGCUGCAUAAGAUUCCCUGCAAGCAACAAUCACAGGAAAAAACAGCAGAAAAUGAAUGUAUCGAAGUUAUCGCAGCCACUAUAGCAACUCCCCCUUCCUUUUCCGCAGACUGCACUCCAACGACUAAAAAAACUAUCUACAAUUCGACCCAGAGUGGAGAGGGAACCCACAAGGUAGGUGGGAGGGGGGACGGCCCUCCCCCACCCGAAGGGGCAAAGGAAGGCUGCCUGGUGCGGCAGAAAUCAAGCUCUUGAAACCCUAGAGAAACACAAAAAAAAAAAAUGAAAGAAAAAGCAG